ACCCCAAAAAUCCACACCAUGUGCCUGAGAGUGUUGUCAAAAUGCCCCUUGAAGUGCAAGCUUAGUGCCGUGACCACUUCCCUGGGGAGCCUGUUCCAAUAGUCAACUACUCUCCAGGCAUCCAGGUAGGACCUUGUUUUUCUCAUUUGCUGGAUCAGCCAUUUGGGAGUUAAGGGCCUGCUGAUUUCAGGAGUGCUGAGAUUAAAAAGCAUAAAUGAAAAACCUGACGUCUGGUCAAGUGAUGAAGCUGA